UACGUAGGGUGCAAGCGUUGUCCGGAAUUAUUGGGCGUAAAGAGCUCGUAGGCGGUCUGUCGCGUCUGGUGUGAAAACUCAGGGCUUAACCCUGAGCUUGCAUCGGGUACGGGCAGACUAGAGUGCGGUAGGGGAGACUGGAAUUCCUGGUGUAGCGGUGAAAUGCGCAGAUAUCAGGAGGAACACCGGUGGCGAAGGCGGGUCUCUGGGCCGUAUGAACUGACGUGGAGGAGCGAAAGCAUGGGGAGCGAACAGGA
rnacentral:rRNA from 1 species